rnacentral:rRNA from 1 species
UACGUAGGGGGCAAGCGUUGUCCGGAAUCAUUGGGCGUAAAGCGCGUGUAGGCGGCUGGGUAAGUCCGCUCUGAAAGCCCGGGGCUCAACCCCGGGAGGCGGGUGGAUACUGCUCAGCUCGAGUCCGGAAGAGGAGUGUGGAAUUCCUGGUGUAGCGGUGAAAUGCGUAGAGAUCGGGAGGAACACCAGUGGCGAAGGCGGCUACCUGGACCAGCACUGACACUGAGGCACGAAAGCGUGGGGAGCAAACAGG